AGAGUUUGAUCAUAGCUCAGAUUGAACGCUGGCGGCAGGCCUAACACAUGCAAGUCGAACGGUAACAGGAAACAGCUUGCUGUUUCGCUGACGAGUGGCGGACGGGUGAGUAAUGUCUGGGAAACUGCCUGAUGGAGGGGGAUAACUACUGGAAACGGUAGCUAAUACCGCAUAACGUCGCAAGACCAAAGAGGGGGACCUUCGGGCCUCUUGCCAUCAGAUGUGCCCAGAUGGGAUUAGCUAGUAGGUGGGGUAACGGCUCACCUAGGCGACGAUCCCUAGCUGGUCUGAGAGGAUGACCAGCCACACUGGAACUGAGACACGGUCCAGACUCCUACGGGAGGCAGCAGUGGGGAGUAUUGCACAAUGGGCGCAAGCCUGAUGCAGCCAUGCCGCGUGUAUGAAGAAGGCCUUCGGGUUGUAAAGUACUUUCAGCGGGGAGGAAGGGAGUAAAGUUAAUACCUUUGCUCAUUGACGUUACCCGCAGAAGAAGCACCGGCUAACUCCGUGCCAGCAGCCGCGGUAAUACGGAGGGUGCAAGCGUUAAUCGGAAUUACUGGGCGUAAAGCGCACGCAGGCGGUUUGUUAAGUCAGAUGUGAAAUCCCCGGGCUCAACCUGGGAACUGCAUCUGAUACUGGCAAGCUUGAGUCUCGUAGAGGGGGGUAGAAUUCCAGGUGUAGCGGUGAAAUGCGUAGAGAUCUGGAGGAAUACCGGUGGCGAAGGCGGCCCCCUGGACGAAGACUGACGCUCAGGUGCGAAAGCGUGGGGAGCAAACAGGAUUAGAUACCCUGGUAGUCCACGCCGUAAACGAUGUCGACUUGGAGGUUGUGCCCUUGAGGCGUGGCUUCCGGAGCUAACGCGUUAAGUCGACCGCCUGGGGAGUACGGCCGCAAGGUUAAAACUCAAAUGAAUUGACGGGGGCCCGCACAAGCGGUGGAGCAUGUGGUUUAAUUCGAUGCAACGCGAAGAACCUUACCUGGUCUUGACAUCCACGGAAGUUUUCAGAGAUGAGAAUGUGCCUUCGGGAACCGUGAGACAGGUGCUGCAUGGCUGUCGUCAGCUCGUGUUGUGAAAUGUUGGGUUAAGUCCCGCAACGAGCGCAACCCUUAUCCUUUGUUGCCAGCGGUCCGGCCGGGAACUCAAAGGAGACUGCCAGUGAUAAACUGGAGGAAGGUGGGGAUGACGUCAAGUCAUCAUGGCCCUUACGACCAGGGCUACACACGUGCUACAAUGGCGCAUACAAAGAGAAGCGACCUCGCGAGAGCAAGCGGACCUCAUAAAGUGCGUCGUAGUCCGGAUUGGAGUCUGCAACUCGACUCCAUGAAGUCGGAAUCGCUAGUAAUCGUGGAUCAGAAUGCCACGGUGAAUACGUUCCCGGGCCUUGUACACACCGCCCGUCACACCAUGGGAGUGGGUUGCAAAAGAAGUAGGUAGCUUAACCUUCGGGAGGGCGCUUACCACUUUGUGAUUCAUGACUGGGGUGAAGUCGAAACAAGGUAACCGUAGGGGAACCUGCGGUUG
rnacentral:rRNA from 1 species